UAGAGGGGGAGGGGGUAUAUAAACAGCCUCCCGUGCCAGUUCUCGCCACUUGAGCAGCAGACGUCGUCCCAGCAGCAGCCACACUACUCCCUCGCCGUCCUCUAAGUGUCAUAGAUGAAGAGAGGCAUUUUACCGGGUCUUCCAUACCAUCUGAAACUGGACUUGAAUCUAGCCAGUAAGCUUGGCAGUCGCCUAGGUAACUGUGGUAAUAAACUAGAGCUAAGCGUCCUCGCCCAGCGUCACAGCGUGCCUUGAGAGAUCACAUCAUCAUCUACAAGAACUGUUUGAUCAACUAUUAUUACCAGAACCUCUUAGCCAUCAAGUCCAACAUCUUCGCACACAGGAGUGAAAUCCUGACGCCACAUUAACAAAACAUCUGCACUAAAAAGAGUGACUGAUAAAUAUUCCAGAGAUUCUCAACGUCUUCAAUCAACUGUCUGAACCUACGAGAGAACCUUUGUUUACUCCUGACAACUGUUGACCUGCGGGACUCUUGUAGCACUCAAUCACUCAACUACUCACCGCCAAGAUGGUUUAUGAGCAGUCUUACACCUCCGCCAACUUCGUCGCUGAUCAGGAAGCCAGGAAAUCUGCCUAUAAGGUUAUGCAGAUGACGAAUUACGGCCAGACACACAACAGCACCGGGCAGAACGGAAGCGUGAAGAGAAGCAAGAAGAACAACAACACUAACAGCGAGAAGACAACAGAUGUGUGGGGUUCAGUGUUCCAGAAUAAACAACACUUCGUCGACAUGCACUUCUGCUAGGCUCCACCCCUCGUCAUCACCCUCGCUUGCCAAUAAAUCACGAUUAAUUACCAAUCAUUAUUCAAAAUCACGAUGCUAGAGUUAUUUAAAUACGUAUGCAUGUUUGUGUGAUUAAAUGUCAAGAAAUUGUAAUCUAUGGAAUAUGUCAAAUUCCUGGAUAAUGAUUUAAUUUUUUGAUGUCGAUGUUUUAACCUAUUGGAAGACGAUGAGUAUGAUGGUAUCGUACUCAAGUGGGUUAAGUCAUCGUACUCAAUGGGAGCAAAAUUACCGUACUCAAUUGAUAAUUAAAUCAUCGUUGGCAUUAACACUCAUCCUUUUGGUAUAUCAUGGUAAAGAAAACAUUAUAAAAGAAAACUCAUAGUAGACUCAUUAUAUCGUCAAUAGUUUACAUAAUUAAGUAUCAUUGUCAUCCAUUAAUGUAAACAUCGACCUUCAACUUGGAUAUGAAUAUAAGUAUUUUUUUUCAUUGUGGUCAAAAGGCCAUACUGUAUACCAUGUAAAGUUCAAAUAAUGUUUAGAAUAAAAUUUAAAUGAAUAUUAA